rnacentral:rRNA from 1 species
ACUGAACGCUGGCGGCAUGCCUUACACAUGCAAGUCGAACGGCAGCAUGGAGAGCUUGCUCUCGGAUGGCGAGUGGCGAACGGGUGAGUAAUGCAUCGGAACGUACCGUGUAAUGGGGGAUAACGUAGCGAAAGUUACGCUAAUACCGCAUACGACCUGAGGGUGAAAGCAGGGGAUCGCAAGACCUUGCGUUAUACGAGCGGCCGAUGUCAGAUUAGCUAGUUGGUGAGGUAAAGGCUCACCAAGGCGACGAUCUGUAGCGGGUCUGAGAGGAUAAUCCGCCGCACUGGGACUGAGACACGGCACAGACUCCUACGGGAGGCAGCAGUGGGGAAUUUUGGACAAUGGGGGCAACCCUGAUCCAGCCAUGCCGCGUGAGUGAAGAAGGCCUUCGGGUUGUAAAGCUCUUUCGGCCGGGAAGAAAUCGCACAGGCUAAUACUCUGUGUGGAUGACGGUACCGGCAUAAGAAGCACCGGCUAACUACGUGCCAGCCGCCGCAGUAA